GGUCAUUUCCAGCUCUGGUUUUAGCAUGCUGUAAUAAGACUGGUCAGAUUGGGCUUUUUUCAGAGGUGGGAAAGAGAUGAGGCAUUGAUUUCGGGUUUCAAAUUAAACAAUAGAACAAGAACCUUUGUGCUCCCUGUGUAUAUCCAAAUGAUCUGGCUAAACAAGUUUAAAGUGUUAAUCUCUUCGGUCUUUAGUGCCAACAGAGGUCAGUGAAGCAGCGAGGUGAGUUCUUGCAAACCCAUUUACUGCAGACACCAAGAUGCAAUUUCAACAGAAAUCCCAAAUGCAGGGGCUUUACUGAAGGUGUGGCAUCCACUACGGAGAUCCAGCCUGGCUUUUAGACCCUCCUAAUGAAACUUAGGAGGAAACCCCUCACGACCAUUCCUUGGGCAUACAGCAUCAUUAUGGCAACACCACGAGGCCGUUUGCUCUUUCGUUUAAGCCGAAGCACAUCGGAGCACCCAGUUAGGAGGAAGCUGCUUUAACUUGGAAGAUGCUCCGGGAGCUAUUCCCCUAGGAAAAGCAGUUAACGAGGAACAACCAGUAAACCAAGGCUGCUUCCUUGGCUUGAGACACCGACUGCAGCCUCGGACCAGUUAAUUUGACACAGCACAGCACACUCAGAAGCCCUGAAGAUCCCAACGCAAGCCGGGCAAGAGCAGCAAGAGGGGGGCUUACUGGCCCGUUGGAAGGCGAACUACAACCUCACGCAUCAGCAAAACUCCAAACAGGAAGCAAGAGCGUGCGGACAACGCCUAGAGGAUGCAGCUGAACAGCUCGAUGACAACGGGAGCCGAGGCGUCAUAUGUGUACCGCCAGGCCACCUGGACGCGUUCGGGUCGUUGAGGUUUCAAAGGCAGAAUUUCAAAAUAAAAGCUUUUAAGCCUUCCACUUAGAGUAUUGAAGACAGUGGGACAAGUCUGGGGAGCUGUCAAGGUGGUAAUAGUUGCAAGAUGCUCUGAAGUACCCCUGCAUCCUUUUCUGAAAGCCACCAGUAAGACCUAAUUAGCUGGGAGCUGGAGAAGACUGAGGACAUGGCGAGGACUUCCAUCAGAGCAUCCAUGAGGAUGAAAAUAGCUCGAUGCAGCUCACAGCCUGUGAGUUUAAGAAAAGAACCUGAAUCAUUCCCAGGAAAACAAACUCUGCCAGUAGGACUUCGGCAUUGAUUAAUGGCCUGUCACACAGAGUGAUGUACAAUUGUCACAAUCGUAGCAUGUGCUGCAGUCUUCUCUCUGGGCUGUGGCUUGAGCACACAGGCCACUACCUUGAUCCCAUAGAAGACUCCAUCUGUAGAAGCACUAAGAACACGAUUUGCCACAUUUCUGAAUCAGGUCCACAUGUCCAUGUGUAUCUGUAGAGCUCUGAAAGGUGGAGGGCAACAGCUGCUUAUCUUCUUUGAAUUAUACCAUCAAAGAUUAAAACAGUGUCUUGUAGAUCUGUUACUAAAAAUCUGGUAAAGAUUUUCUCCCCUCCCCCAAGACACUUAAAAAUAAAAACAAAAAAAAAAAAAAACUUUUUUUCCUAUGGAAAGUUGAUAUGAAAAGGAAAUGUUUGAUUUAAUUUACAUUGUCUUUGGGUUUGGGACAUUUUUUAGGCUGGAAAUUUGAAUUCCAAAAGUUUGUGCAAAAUAAGCUACUUCUGCUUAUUUUGCUCUUGCUGUUGCAGAGGCUCAAGAGAAUGUACUGCUCGGGUCUCACGCUUCCCUUUUCCUCCAUAGGAUAAGUUCCUUGAUCUUCUGUCUUGGAGAGGAGAAGUGGUGCACAGAGCCCACAUCUGUAUUGACCUUCCUACUUUCCUGUCUCUUUUCUCUCUCCGUUAUCAAGCAUUCUGCUUGGUUUAAAAUCCACGUUCUCCUACUAAAGCAUCAGGGUAAAUAAAACAGAAUUGAGUUUUAUAAAUGCAUAACAAUCUAGCAGCCUAGUAAAAUACAUUUUUUCCUAUAGUGUGAAUAAUUCAGAAGAAUCAAAGAAGUUCUGAACUAAACUCAGUAAGCUGCUGAGCAAUAUUAGAUUUGGAAGGCACAGCAGAAAUUCAUCAGUUGUGCCCUGAAAGAGCUAAUAUGAAGAAAUGUUGGAGUAGAAUAAAUAUUGCGCUUUAUAUGAAGAAAAAAAAAAUGUUGUUAGUAUCACAUAAUAUAAGUCACCAUUUUAUGCAUCUUUAUUUUUCUCUGGUACAACCAAUACGCACCAAAUCUACCUUGGACAGCAUAAGCAGGAAAUGAACUCUCGCUCUCUUUCUCAUUAUAUAUUCACCAAGAGGAAAAAAUAAAAACCCAGUUCCAGCCUCCUCUUACAUCUUUAGAGCUACAGUUAGUUACAUGUUUUUAAAUGUCUUUGUGUUUAGAUGAAGAAAGUUGGGUGAUUUGAGGAAUGUAAAACAAGAGUUGAGGUUUCCUUUAAGCCUAUCACUGUAGUGAAAGAAGGACAAUGAGUCAUGUUAGCCAGCUACAGUUUAUUACUCAGCAAUAGAUUUUCUGCUUUGGGCAGGCUUAACUCCAGACUGUGUUGCUACUACCGGAUCAAACAGGGCUGCAAGAAAGUUCUCCAGUGCUGAGGCCAACUGGCACUGUAACAGUCCAUGUCCAAACUGUUAAAUUCUCUUGGCAUCCGGAAUAAGGGAUGCAUGCAAACUGGUGUUUGAGUAGUUGCUGGCCUGUGUUAAUUUCCAGAUCAGCUCUGGAAACUUUUGGAGAGUGAUAAUUGGCUUGGGUCAGGGGUCUAUCUCUUCUGUAGACUCAAAGCUCCAAGGUCCAGGAACGUUUCCUCAGGUCACUGAUAACUACUGGCAUAUACAUAGCCUAUAGACUAUGGAGCAAUCCAUGUUUUCACCCAUGAGGUGAAAACAGUCACAGUCUGAUCCAGUCAUUAUUUGGAUUAUGUCCAGGCAUAUGAGGUGGCACAGAAUUUAGGGGAUAAUGGCUCGGGACAGUAAAUCAAAUUUUGUCACAGACAAUGCAAACACCAUACUUCAAAAGAUAAUUUCUCUCACUAUGCUUUUGCAUAUUUCUUUGUUCCAGAGUUUCUGAUUACUUUCUAGAAUAUGCCUGAACACAAAAGCAGAGCAGAAAUAGAAGAAUGCUAGUUAGUCAUGAAACCAGAAGUAGAGCAUCCAGAGCAGUCAUUUGAGAGAUCCCAAGGAACAUCCAGGUUCACUCAAUGGAAAAUAAAUAAAUAAAUAAAUAAAUAAAUAAAUAAAUAAAU